rnacentral:rRNA from 1 species
GACGAACGCUGGCGGCGUGCUUAACACAUGCAAGUCGAACGGAAAGGCCCUGCUUUUGUGGGGUGCUCGAGUGGCGAACGGGUGAGUAACACGUGAGUAACCUGCCCUUGACUUUGGGAUAACUUCAGGAAACUGGGGCUAAUACCGGAUAGGAGCUCCUGCUGCAUGGUGGGGGUUGGAAAGUUUCGGCGGUUGGGGAUGGACUCGCGGCUUAUCAGCUUGUUGGUGGGGUAGUGGCUUACCAAGGCUUUGACGGGUAGCCGGCCUGAGAGGGUGACCGGCCACAGUGGGACAGAGAUACGGCCCAGACUCCUACGGGAGGCAGCAGUGGGGAAGAGUGCACAAGGGGCGGAAGCCGGAUGCAGCAACGCCGCGUGCGGGAGGACGGCCGUCGGGGUGGAAACCGCGGUCGCCGGGGACGAAGCGUGAGUGACGGUAAUGGGUAAAGAAGCACCGGCUAACUACGUG